rnacentral:rRNA from 1 species
UACGUAGGCAGCAAGCGUUGUUCGGAGUUACUGGGCGUAAAGGGUGUGUAGGCGGUUGGAUAAGUGUGGUGUGAAGUCUCCCGGCUUAACUGGGAGGGUGCGCUACAAACUGUCUGACUAGAGUGUGGGAUGGGUAAGUGGAAUUCCUGGUGUAGCGGUGAAAUGCGUAGAUAUCAGGAGGAACACCGGUGGUGUAGACGGCUUACUGGACCAUAACUGACGCUGAGACACGAAAGCGUGGGUAGCAAACAGG